rnacentral:lncRNA from 1 species
AGACAGGAUCUCACUCUAUCGCCCAGACUGGAGUGCAGUGGCACAAUCUCGGCUCAUGGCAACCUCCACUUCCUCAGCUCAAGUGAUUCUCCUGCCUCAGCCUCCCGAGUAGCUGGGAUUGUAGGUGCACACCACCAUGCCCAUCUGAUUUUUGUAUUUUUAGUAAAGACAGGGUUUCACCAUGUUGGCCAGGCUGGUCUCAAACUCCUGACUUCAAAUAAUCCACCCACCUUGGCUGCCCAAAGUUCUGGAAUUAUAGGCAUGAGCCACUGUGCCUGGCCUAAAAUUUCAAUGCUAAAAUUUCAAUAUGGUGGCCUUCCUUUACAAAUUGAAUGACAUCAGGAAUAUCACUUCUAGAAGCCUAUGUAACAGAAACAACAAGCAUGACUACAUGAAGAAUAUAUGUCUAAUGAUGCUCAUUGCAUCAUAAUUUGUAGCUUAAGAAUUGGAAACAAACCAAAUAUCUACCUAUGAAAGAAUGGUUAAAUUGCCUAUGAAUGGAAUAUUAUGUAACUAUGACAAAGAAUUAGGUAGGUCUAUAUGAACUAACAUGGAAAGAUAUCUGUGUCAUCUUUAAAAGAAAAUUCGCAGACAGAGCAAAAUGGCAUUUCGUAUAAAAUGUACAGAUAAAUUGUGCAAGAAAGAUUUAACACAAGAGGCCUGACUGCUAUCCUCUGAAAGGUUCUUGGCUGGCAUCUGGGAACUUGGAAGUUAGGAGAGUUCUUGCCAUUACCAACUGGUAAGAGCGGCUCACUGCACCCAAACUGUUUAUAGGAACCAUGUGGUUUGUGCUGAACAUCUGCUUUCCUGUGGCACAGUCUGAAAUUUUGAUAUAUACCUGUUAGAGGCGGCCUGUGUGACCAGCCCCCAGUAAAAUGCUGAACAUUGAGUUUCUAAGGAGCUUCCCUAGUAGACAUUUCACACAUGUCACAACUCCUUGCCUGGGGAAUUAAACAUGUUCCAUGCGAAUCCACUGGGCAAGGACCCUUGGAAGCUUGUGCCUGGUUUCUCCCAGCCUUUGCCCCACGCACUUUUUCCCUUUGUUGAUCUCACUCUAUAUCCUUUCACUGUAAUAAAUCUUACCAGGAGUAAAACUAUAUGCUGAGUCUUUGAGUCCUUCUAGCAAAUCAGAGAACCUGGCAGUGAUCUUGGGGACCCCCAACACAUGAACACAUGGCUUUAUUUAUACACAUGCACAGGAAAUCUUCUGGAACCGUUGAGGAUGUUUAAUUCUCAGUAGUGGGUUGAAAUGCCCACUUUACCUCUUGCUAUAUAAUGUUUUUAAAACUAUGAGAAUUUGACUGAUUUUGAGUUUUGCGUGUCUUCGGUGAUUUACCAUGAUGUCAUGAUUGCUCACAUGUGUGUCCCUGUAUCAUGAUGCGUCUCUUGGUCCUGUCUCAGUUUUUGGAACAUCUCCAGUGACUGGCAUUAGGCCUAGCACAUGGUAGGUGAAAGAAAUGAUGGUACUAAUUGAAUUUGAAGGAAAAGCAAGUAGAUGGACAUAGAGAUAAUUUAGAAAUAACCUCAAAGGCAGUACUGACAUGUAGAAUCUCCUUUCUUUUGAUGUUUCAGCUUUUCAAGACUUUUGAUUUUCCAGCUAAUUUCAAGCCUUUCCAGUUUUUAUGCCCAUUUGGAAGAGGGGAAAGGUAAAAAUAAAGAACAAAAAGAAGAGGUGAGAGAUAGAUGAAGCUAGAAAAAUAACUACAAUUUAAACUUCACCUCUCUUCAACCCAGCCAGAGGCAAGCAGCUGGUCAUUUCAUUCGACAUAGUUUAUCCUAAAGAGGACGGCAUGCCUUCCUCCUCAAACUACUCUCUGUUGGCAGCAUGACUGCUGUAUCAAAGGAGGACAUUGUCUGUGUGGUAGGUAGGGUAUGAAACAAAUGUGGAAAACUGUUCCAUUUUCUUCCUUUUGAAUGUACUGUUCUGUAAGACUGAUUAAUUACAUGGUUAACUAUAGGGUACCAUUAUGUAAAUAUAAAUGAAGUCAAGUGUUU